rnacentral:rRNA from 1 species
UACGAAGGGGGCGAGCGUUGUUCGGAAUUACUGGGCGUAAAGGGCUCGUAGGCGGCCAACUAAGUCGGAUGUGAAAUCCCCAGGCUUAACCUGGGAAUUGCAUCCGAUACUGGAUGGCUUGAAUCCGGGAGAGGGAUGCGGAAUUCCAGGUGUAGCGGUGAAAUGCGUAGAUAUCUGGAGGAACACCGGUGGCGAAGGCGGCAUCCUGGACCGGCAUUGACGCUGAGGAGCGAAAGCCAGGGGAGCAAACGGG